rnacentral:rRNA from 1 species
AUUGAACGCUGGCGGCAGGCCUAACACAUGCAAGUCGAGCGAGCGGCGGACGGGUGAGUAAUGCCUAGGAAUCUGCCUGGUAGUGGGGGAUAACGUCCGGAAACGGGCGCUAAUACCGCAUACCAUCGGAUGAGCCUAGGUGGGAUUAGCUAGUCGGUGGGGUAACGGCUCACCAAGGCGACGAUCCCUAGCUGGUCUGAGAGGAUGACCAGCCACACUGGAACUGAGACACGGUCCAGACUCCUACGGGAGGCAGCAGUGGGGAAUAUUGGACAAUGGGCGCAAGCCUGAUGCAGCCAUGCCGCGUGUAUGAAGAAGGCCUUCGGGUUGUAAAGUACUUUCAGCGGGGAGGCGUUACCCACAGAAGAAGCACCGGCUAACUCCGUGCCAGCAGCCGCGGUAAUAC